rnacentral:rRNA from 1 species
AUGCUCCGCCUCCGCAGCUCCAUCCUCACCCACCUCCUCUCAUCUCCAGCCACCUCUCCGGUAUCCCCUCUCCACCGCCUCCUCUCAGCCGCAGCGCCAGCCAUCUCCACCCCGACCACCGGGUUCGCCGUGGAGGACUACCUCGUCGGCACCUGCGGCCUCACCCGACCCCAAGCCCUCAAGGCCUCCGCCAAGCUCUCCCACCUCAAGUCCCCCGCCAAUGCCGACGCCGUCCUCGCCUUCCUCGCCGGCCUCGGCCUCUCCGCCGCCGACGUCGCCACCGCCGUCGCCAGGGACCCGCAGCUGCUCUGCACCGGCGUGGAGAGAACACUGGCGCCCGUCGUCGCGGGGCUCUCCGGCCUCGGCGUACCACGUUCUGAGAUCGCGCGCCUCGUCUCGGUUAAAGCCAGCCUCUUCCGGCGUAGAUCCAUCGUCUCCAACGUCGCUCUCCUGCAAGAGAGUGGGCUAGGUGUUUGUGAUAUUGCCAAGCUGUGCCUCACUAGGCCACGGCUGCUCAGCAGCAACCUAGAGCGCGUCCAGGCGGCGUUGGCGUCCGCCGAAGCACUCGGUGUACCCCGUGGAUCCGGGAUGUUCAGGUAUGCGAUAGAAGCUGUUGCAUCCUUCACCGAGGAGAAGAUCGCUGCCAGAGGGGACUACUUGAAGAAGACAUUCAGGUGGUCGGAUGCCGACGUGAGCAUUGCUGUGUGUAAGGCUCCGUAUUUGAUCGUAAAAUCAAAGGAAUCACUGCAGUGCAGGUCUGAAUUCCUCAUCUCUGAGGUGGGGUUGGAACCGGCCUACCUCACUCAACGUCCGGCAAUGGUCUGUUACAGCCUAGAGGGCCGGAUGAGACCCCGGUACCACGUUGUAAAGUUUCUCAAGGAAAAUGGAUUGCUCAAGCGCGACCCGAGCUACUAUACUGUUUUCAAGGAGAGCGAGAAGUAUUUCAUGGAUAAGUUCAUAUGCCCUCACAAGGAGGCUGCACCACACCUUGCAGAAGAUUAUGCUGCCGCUUGUGGAGGGGAAGUGCCCGCUAGAUUCAGAUUUACAUGA